rnacentral:rRNA from 1 species
CCUACGGGAGGCAGCAGUGGGGAAUAUUGGACAAUGGGCGAAACCUGAUCCAGCCAUGCCGCGUGUGUGAAGAGGUCUUCGGAUUGUAAGCACUUUAAGUUGGGAGGCGUUACCGACAGAAUAAGCACCGGCUAACUCUGUGCCAGCAGCCGCGGUAAUACAGAGGGUGCAAGCGUUAAUCGGAAUUACUGGGCGUAAAGCGCGCGUAGGUGGUUUGUUAAGUUGAAUGUGAAAUCCCCGGGCUCAACCUGGGAACUGCAUCCAAAACUGGCAAGAUAGAGUAUGGUAGAGGGUGGUGGAAUUUCCUGUGUAGCGGUGAAAUGCGUAGAUAUAGGAAGGAACACCAGUGGCGAAGGCGACCACCUGGACUGAACUGACACUGAGGUGCGAAAGCGUGGGGAGCAAACAGGAUUAGAUACCCUUGUAGUC